GACCCCAUCGUCUAGAGGCCUAGGACAUCGCCCUUUCACGGCGGUAACGGGGGUCCGAAUCCCCCUGGGGUCGCCA
rnacentral:tRNA from 1 species